rnacentral:rRNA from 1 species
AACGAACGCUGGCGGCAUGCCUAACACAUGCAAGUCGAACGAGACCUUCGGGUCUAGUGGCGCACGGGUUCGUAACGCGUGGGAACCUGCCCUUAGGUUCGGAAUAACUCCCCGAAAGGGGUGCUAAUACCGGAUAAUGUCUUCGGACCAAAGAUUUAUCGCCUUUGGAUGGGCCCGCGUUGGAUUAGCUAGUUGGUAGGGUAAAAGCCUACCAAGGCGACGAUCCAUAGCUGGUCUGAGAGGAUGAUCAGCCACACUGGGACUGAGACACGGCCCAGACUCCUACGGGAGGCAGCAGUGGGGAAUAUUGGAAAAUGGGCGAAAGCCUGAUCCAGCAAUGACGCGUGAGUGAUGAAGGCAUUAGGGUUGUAAAGCUCUUUUAACCGGGAUGAUAAUGACAGUACCGGGAGAAUAAGCUCCGGCUAACUCCGUG